rnacentral:rRNA from 1 species
UACGGAGGUCCCAAGCGUUGUUCGGAUUCACUGGGCGUAAAGGGUGCGUAGGCGGUGAAGUAAGUCGGGUGUGAAAUACCAUAGCUUAACUAUGGAACUGCACUCGAUACUACUUUGCUAGAGUAAGACAGAGGUGAGUGGAACUGAGGGUGGAGCGGUGAAAUGCGUUGAUAUCCUCAGGAACACCGGUGGCGAAGGCGACUCACUGGGUCUUUACUGACGCUGAUGCACGAAAGCUAGGGUAGCAAACGGG